ensembl:lncRNA
GGGGGGUUAAGAACAUGAAAUCUGUUUGUUUUCUCGACGAAAACAAGAAAUAAAGAUCUAAGCAGCCUUUCCCUCAGAGCAUUGAGCACGAGCUAACAACAACACGAUAGCAAUACGACGGUACCUCCCCAGAAAAUCUCUUGGUAUAAGAAAACAUUAUUUGUGAUUGAAAUGUGAUGAUCUUAUAUCUCCCAAUUAAUCAACUCUGCAGUAUACACCGUUCUGAUCGGUCAACUGAGGUGCAUAAAGGCCUGCUUUUUGGUUUGCACUCGUUAGAUGCUAACUGUAUUUCAUUGGCUCUGUACCAUGAAAACAAAGUUGAAUCCAAUGAUUAUCCAUGAUAAUCUCCUAUUUGUGAAUAACAAAGCAGUCUGAAGUCUGAAGGCCCCCUACCAUAGGUAAUCAGUGUCUUUCUAAGACUCUAAGGUCACACUGAUACCCACCAUAUGUCUCUCCUGAGCUUUAGUAUACUGUAAUGUGCUGUAAUGUGUGGUUGACUCACUCUGCCAGCUGGGUGCAGUGUGGCGAGGAGGUCAGCAGGGGGCAGUGUGUCUCUCUGUGGCUCAGGCUGAAGGACCAGUCACUCAGCUCAGCACUGCGAUGGUCAGCGAGGCGGCAGAUUCCUCCACUCCCAGCCUAUUAGCAGCACAUCACCACGUUACACAUACUAACACAUCAGGUGACACAUACUUACACAUCAGGUGACACAUACUUACACAUCACGUUACACAUACUUACACAUCACGUGACACAGGAUCAGAAGGCAAAGGCACACAUAUGCAACAGUGUCUAUAAUCUGUCAUAUCUGUGUAUACACAUUUUGUUUAUAGAUAACAAAAAUCACGAAACAGGACUACUGACAAUAAGUAUUUUACUGUUGUUGUUAUUAUUAUUAUUAUUAUUGUUAUUAAAGACAGCAGCAGCGGCAAGAAUAUUAGUAUUUUUAGUGAGUAUAGUAUAAAGUAUUAGUGUUACUACAUCAUUUAAGAGGAAGUGAUCUGUUAGUGUCCAACUCCUCCGGCGUUUACAAGCUGAGGGUCAGUGACUGGGGGCUGCUCCAGGCUGGGGUCCACCCUGGGGGGUAUCUGGCUGGACUGGGCCUCAUUUUCUCAAACCAAUUGCCCUCCAGGCUACUAUUACUCUGGGGGAAACCCAAUUUGAGACAAUUGCCUCUUUGUCAUAGUGAGUUCUGAGGUGUGUGUGUGUGUGUGUUCGAGGGUAUGUGUGCAGGCGUUUACACUACACUGUGGGUGUGUGCAAACUGUUUGUAACAAAGUGAGUGUGAGUGCGUGGAUGGUUCUGUGCGUAUGUUUGUGUGCUUGUGCGUGCGUAUGAGACAAUGUGUGACUACAUGUGGAUGUGAGUGUGUGAGAAUGUGUGUGUGUGCACUAGUGUUGGGCGAUAUCUACCGAAUCGAUUCUGGAAUCAUGAUGCCAUCAUGAUGCCAUCCCCAUUCUCCAUCGAACCACACCAGCAUCAGAGGGGACAGUGUGUGUGUGUGUGUGUGUGUGUGUGUCUGUACCCACCGUGAUCUCUGAUGCAGAGAGAGGACCAUGGGUGCUGAAUGCCAAGGAGGUGUGUGUGCCCUGCGCCAGCUGUGCCAGUCUGGCAGUGAACCUCAGCACCCCGCUGCUCUGCUCCUCCUGUGCCAGCUGGUGCCAACGCCUCAGCACCACGCAGGCACGCUCCCUCCCCUGGGCCACACAGAACAGACUGAGAAUGACACACACACACACACACACACACACACACACACACACACACACACACACACACACACACACACACACACACACACACAGAGUACGUUAGACAAAGGAAAAAUAGUCCAGAUACACACACAAAGAUACAGUGCAUCAAAUACAAAUAAAGUCAUAAAUGUUAUAAAAUGCAGUUUUCUGGAUUUGUUUGUUGAUAUUCUAUUUCUCACUGUUAAAAUACACCUACCAUUACAAUUAUAGAUCACACAUUUCUUUGCAAGUGGCCAAACUUGCGAAAUCGGCAGGGGUUCAAAUACUUAACGCAGACACACACUCACACACAAACAUACAUAUGCACACACACAUCACCGACUAUCACUGCACAUCAUGAAAUACUCACAUGCAUUGCCAAAUGUAAAUAUACGGAAUAACGUGUCUGUUCUUUGCGCACUUGCGCGCACACACACACUCACACACACACACACACACACACACACACACCCACACACCUGGCCUUGUGCAUGUUGAGUGUGUUCUCCCUCCAGGUGUGCAGAGCCUUCUGCAGGAGGAGAUUGUGACACAACUCAUCCAGACUCCUCUGUGUCUCCAUCACACUGCAGCUAUCUUCUCAACACAGACACAGACACAGACACAGACACACACACACACACACACACACACACACACACACACAGAGAAACACACUCACACACACACACACACACACACACACACACACACACACACAGAAAUGCACACACACACACACCCAAGCACAGAUGCACAUACGCACACACACACACACACCAAAGAAAUUAUAUUUUGACAUUGCAUACACAGCAAUUAAUUAAUUUCUUUCUAUCUUUUCAUCUCAAGAUGUGAAUCUACACUGACUG